rnacentral:rRNA from 1 species
UACGGGGGGGGCAAGCGUUGUUCGGAAUUACUGGGCGUAAAGGGCGUGUAGGUGGCCAACUAAGUCCGACGUGAAAUCCCCAGGCUUAACCUGGGAACUGCGUCGGAUACUGGAUGGCUUGAGUUUGGGAGAGGGAUGCGGAAUUCCAGGUGUAGCGGUGAAAUGCGUAGAUAUCUGGAGGAACACCGGUGGCGAAGGCGGCCAGCUGGCGCUGACCUGACGCUGAGGCGCGAAGGCUUGGGGAGCGAACGGG